CAAAGGCAUGGUCCUGACCUUACUAUCAGCUUUAGCCCAACUUACACAUGCAAGUCUCCGCAACCCCGUGAGUAUGCCCUUAAUCCCCCGCCCGGGGACGAGGAGCGGGCAUCAGGCACAAAAUUUAGCCCAAGACGCCUGGCCAAGCCACACCCCCAAGGGAAUUCAGCAGUGAUAAACAUUAAGCCAUAAGUGAAAACUUGACUCAGUCAGGGCUAAGAGGGCCGGUAAAACUCGUGCCAGCCACCGCGGUUAAACGAGAGGCCCUAGUUAAUAGUGCUACGGCGUAAAGGGUGGUUAAGGAGAGCAAUAUAAUAAAGCCAAAUGGCCCUUUGGCCGUCAUACGCUUCUAGGUGUCCGAAGCCCAACCCCACGAAAGUAGCUUUAACAAAACCCACCUGACCCCACGAAAGCUAAGAAACAAACUGGGAUUAGAUACCCCACUAUGCUUAGCUAUAAACCUAGACGUCCAACUACAAUUAGACGUCCGCCAGGGUACUACGAGCAUCAGCUUGAAACCCAAAGGACCUGACGGUGCCUUAGACCCCCCUAGAGGAGCCUGUUCUAGAACCGAUAACCCCCGUUAAACCUCACCACUUCUAGCCACCCCAGCCUAUAUACCGCCGUCGCCAGCUUACCCUGUGAAGGCAAUAAAAGUAAGCAAAAUGGGCACAACCCAGAACGUCAGGUCGAGGUGUAGCGUAUGAAGUGGGAAGAAAUGGGCUACAUUUUCUAUAAUAGAAUACUACGAAUAUGCAACAUGAAAUAGUGCUUGAAGGAGGAUUUAGUAGUAAAAAGGAAGUAGAGUGUCCUUUUGAACCCGGCUCUAAGGCGCGUACACACCGCCCGUCACUCUCCCCUGUCAAAAUGCAAUGAUGAUACAUAACAAAAAAGCACUGACAAGGGGAGGCAAGUCGUAACAUGGUAAGUGUACCGGAAGGUGCACUUGGAUUAAACU
rnacentral:ncRNA from 1 species